rnacentral:lncRNA from 1 species
GGUUAGCGGCGUGCUCGUGCCAUGUGCCUGUCAGUUCUGCAAGCAUUUGUUGGAUGUGAAGGUUGGUGUGAUGACCACGCUGCCCAUAACAGGCAAAAGAGUGCAGACAGCUGAGGCUCCUCACUUCCCGCUCCAAAGCUCAGAACCUCCCUUCCCUCCUGGAUCCAACAGAAGCAGUGGCCACUGCUGCCUGUGCCUCUCAAACUUGUCACCCACGGAUGCUGGGAAAAAUGCACAUAAAAGGGUCCUGUCUUUGUGAUGUCAGCGUGAAGUGGAAUUCACAGAAUGGCUAAAGUGGAGGGAAGACUUAAAAUGCAUUGGAUGAUGAUAGCAGCCUCAUUUACAAUCACCACGACUUGGAAGCAGCCGAGAUGUCCUUUGGCAGAUGAUUGGAGAAAUGAACUGUGGCACAUCCAUGCAGACCAUGGAAUACUAUUCAGUGCUAAAAAUGAGUGAGCUUUCCAUCCUUGUAAAGACAUAGAGAAACCUGAAAUGCAGAUCACAAAGUGAAAGGCCAAUCUGGAAAGGCUACACACCCUAUGACUCCAACCCUGUGACAUUCCCAAAGAGGAAAAAUUAUGGGGACAGUAAAAAGAGGAGCUGCCAUCAUUAGGGAAGCAGGAGCUGAGGAGAGUCAGAGUGACACCAUUGAAAAAUCUUCUCUGUCUUGAGACUAACAAGGUACCUUCCUUGCCAGUCACAACCCAUGGUCCUAAGAUGGUCGCAGCUAAGGAGGCAGCUUGGUACUGCCUGCAAGGACAAACUCCUAAAACAACAGAAAGCCCAGAUGUCCCAAUACCCAUAGCAAUAUGUGCUUUCAAGAUAAUUAUAGAUAUGCUUUGAUGUACUCAUGUACUAGACUGUUAAGGAUAGUUUUCUUUAAACCAGUAGCAUAAUCAAUUUUGUCGUGCUGUCUGCUCCCCCUCACAGAGUCGCAGCUUGGUUUAGUCAUUAUGUAGACAAGACCCCUAUAUAAGAAAAACUUAAAACAAAGACGGUGCAUUCUCUCGGAAGGUCCCGUGAUCUGUAAUGGAGUAGGUUUUAAUAAACG